UACGGAGGGUGCAAGCGUUAUCCGGAUUUACUGGGCGUAAAGGGCGUGCAGGCGGUCUGUUAAGUGCAGGGUGAAAGCUCCCGGCUCAACUGGGAGAGGUCCUUGCAUACUGGCGGACUUGAGGGGGGUAGAGGAAAGUGGAAUUCCCGGUGUAGUGGUGAUAUGCGUAGAUAUCGGGAGGAACACCUGUGGCGAAGGCGGCUUUCUGGGCCCUACCUGACGCUGAGACGCGAAAGCGUGGGGAGCGAACCGG
rnacentral:rRNA from 1 species